UACGACGGGGGCUAGCGUUGUUCGGAUUUACUGGGCGUAAAGCGCACGUAGGCGGAUUGUUAAGUUAGAGGUGACAUCCCGGAGCUCACCUCCGGAACUGCCUUUAAUACUGGCAAUCUCGAGUCCGGAAGAGGUAAGUGGAACUCCUAGUGUAGAGGUGGAAUUCGUAGAUAUUAGGAAGAACACCAGUGGCGAAGGCGGCUCACUGGCUCGUUUCUGACGCUCAGGCGCGAUAGCGUGGGGAUCAAACAGG
rnacentral:rRNA from 1 species